ACGCACGCUGGCGGCGUGCCUAAUCCCUGCAAGUCGCGCGAGUCUGCCUUGAAGAUCGGAGUGCUUGCACUCUGUGAAACAAGAUACAGGCUAGCGGCGGACGGGUGAGUAACACGUGGGUAACCUGCCCAAGAGAUCGGGAUAACACCUGGAAACAGAUGCUAAUACCGGAUAACAACAGAUGAUGCCUAUCAACUGUUUAAAAGAUGGUUCUGCUAUCACUCUUGGAUGGACCUGCGGUGCAUUAGCUAGUUGGUAGGGUAACGGCCUACCAAGGCGAUGAUGCAUAGCCGAGUUGAGAGACUGAUCGGCCACAUUGGGACUGAGACACGGCCCAAACUCCUACGGGAGGCAGCAGUAGGGAAUCUUCCACAAUGGACGCAAGUCUGAUGGAGCAACGCCGCGUGAGUGAAGAAGGGUUUCGGCUCGUAAAGCUCUGUUGUUGGUGAAGAAGGACAGGGGUAGUAACUGACCUUUGUUUGACGGUAAUCAAUUAGAAAGUCACGGCUAACUACGUG
rnacentral:rRNA from 1 species